UUUAGAAAAAUACUAUCAGAACCAUAAUCUUUACAGUGCUAAGCCAGCCACCUGUUUUUUUUCUUAACCAGCAAACAAAUGCUACGGUAAGAAUCAUCUUCUUACAUCUCGUACCAUAAACGAGUAUUUUCUCUAGAGGAAACACUGAUAAUGGUUACUCGCUUAAAAGGAAGCACCAUAAAUAAUUGAUGAGGGGAGUUUCCUCAGCUCUAGUGCCAAAAUGUCUCUCGAGGCAGGCGUCAACACUUCCACUAUUGGGGAGGCAGCAAGAAUUUUAGAAGUUUAACUAUGUUUUUAAACUAAACAGAAAAUCCUUAAUCGAAUUAUUGCGCAUUAAUUGAAAGCCACGAGGUCAGCGAGGAGAGAGGCAAUCGCUAACAGAGGGGACCCACUGGUCAGUGACUCAAGGACAAGGAGAGAGUGGGCUGACCGAAAGGGCCCACUCGGCAGAGAGAAAGAUAGAGAGCU
rnacentral:lncRNA from 1 species